CAGGGAGACCUUACCCACUCAAAUCCGAAAGCAAAGUGUGAAUAGGAAUGAGUCUGGUCAACCUAGGUCGUUCGAGAAUUAUGUGUGGCUCUCAAGCUUGUCUGGGUUUGCUUCUAAGAAGAAGGAAAACGAGGGCUAUUAGCUCAGGUGGUUAGAGCGCACCCCUGAUAAGGGUGAGGUCCCUGGUUCGAGUCCAGGAUGGCCCACCUUCCCAACCAUGCUCAGAAUUUUCUGAAUUCGGUUUUUGAAAUUCCAAAGUCGUUUUGAGUUAUCAAAAUCACUUUCACCUGGUCUUUCAAUUUCCGAGCCCAACUGAAGCAAUUAACAUCAGUCCAGCAUCUUCCGCCACAAAGAAGACUGCUGAACUGAAGUUCAGCCAGAACCUUGAAAACUGCAUAGCAACAAAAGCCAAAGCAAGGUAGUCGAGAGUCAAACAGC
rnacentral:tRNA from 1 species